GGAGGGACGGAAGGACGGGGGGAGCGGCCGGCCGUGCUCCAGGCCAAAAGGGAGACGCGCCCUGAAGGAGGCGGUUUCUGCGCAGAGAUCUUCCAGAAGCCCCGCUUUCCCCUUGACGGCACAACUGUUCCCUGCAUGGAGGAGACCACACGCGGACCUGCCUCUCUCUGAGAGGACCAGGGGCCUCUCAAGAAAGGAACAUGGAGGUGUUGCGCCCCCCCCCCUGCCGACACACGCCUGAGCAGGCCAGGAUCCCG